rnacentral:misc_RNA from 1 species
GUUUUCACAACUAAUAAUACCUCCUGUUUAUGGCAUGUCACUGCGUAGUACAUUUCGUUAUUGUUCGUUCAUAAUUUGCCUUCUGAGUAAUUUAAUUCGUUGUUUAUCGACUAACUUGUUAAUUUUUGGCUAUUGUUCACCUUACAGAAAUUUAUCGAUAAAUAGUUGUAUAAUUCAUCGGAAUAGUAACCGUACCUUGGAGGCAGGCCAUGUAAAUUAUAAAAUAAUUGUGUUUGGGAAUAAUAACCAAAUUCCCAGUACGUAUAAACACUUGACAAACUCGCACUUGGUACGUUCACAAAUCGGAAGAGAGAGACGAAAAGAAGAAAAGGCAGAAUCCCGUUAGCCUGGA